GACAGAGGGUGCAAACGUUGUUCGGCAUUACUGGGCGUAAAGCGCGUGUAGGCGGCUUGGCAAGUCGGGUGUGAAAGCCCCGGGCUCAACCUGGGAAGUGCACUCGAAACUGCUUGGCUUGAGUACUGGAGAGGGAAGCGGAAUUCUCGGUGUAGAGGUGAAAUUCGUAGAUAUCGAGAGGAACACCGGUGGCGAAGGCGGCUUCCUGGACAGUGACUGACGCUGAGACGCGAAAGCGUGGGGAGCAAACAGG
rnacentral:rRNA from 1 species